rnacentral:rRNA from 1 species
UAGUUGGUAGGGUAAAGGCCUACCAAGGCGACGAUCUUUAGCUGGUCUGAGAGGAUGAUCAGUCACACUGGAACUGAGACACGGUCCAGACUCCUACGGGAGGCAGCAGUGGGGAAUAUUGCGCAAUGGGCGAAAGCCUGACGCAGCCAUGCCGCGUGUGUGAAGAAGGCUCUAGGGUUGUAAAGCACUUUCAGUGGGGAGGAAAAGUUGUUGGUUAAUAGCCAGUAACCGUGACGUUACCCACAGAAGAAGCACCGGCUAACUCCGUGCCAGCAGCCGCGGUAAUACGGAGGGUGCAAGCGUUAAUCGGAAUUACUGGGCGUAAAGCGCGCGUAGGCGGUUUGGUAAGCGGGGUGUGAAAUCCCCGGGCUCAACCUGGGAACUGCAUCCCGAACUGCCAGACUAGAGUACAGUAGAGGUGAGUGGAAUUUCCUGUGUAGCGGUGAAAUGCGUAGAUAUAGGAAGGAACAUCAGUGGCGAAGGCGACUCACUGGACUGAUACUGACGCUGAGGUGCGAAAGCGUGGGUAGCAAACAGGAUUAGAUACCCUGGUAGUCCACGCCGUAAACGAUGUCUACUAGCCGUUGGGCAGCUUGACUGUUUAGUGGCGCAGCUAACGCAAUAAGUAGACCGCCUGGGGAGUACGGCCGCAAGGUUAAAACUCAAAUGAAUUGACGGGGGCCCGCACAAGCGGUGGAGCAUGUGGUUUAAUUCGAUGCAACGCGAAGAACCUUACCAGGUCUUGACAUCCUCGGAACUUUCCAGAGAUGGAUUGGUGCCUUCGGGAACCGAGAGACAGCUGCUGCAUGGCUGUCGUCAGCUCGUGUCGUGAGAUGUUGGGUUAAGUCCCGUAACGAGCGCAACCCUUGUCCUUAGUUGCCAGCGCGUAAUGGCGGGAACUCUAGGGAGACUGCCGG